CUCCGCUCGCCCCACUCCGGCUCCGGCUGGACCCCUGCCCGCCCGCCGUCGCCGCCCGCGGGCGCCCCGGAGGCCCUCAGGCCCCCGGCCUCCACCACCCGGGCGCCGGCCCCACUCACCCUUUCAUUCUCCGCCCGGGGCCUGGCGUGGGCCGGCGAAUCCCCGGCCUCACGUAAGCGCGCUCGCCGCCCGCCCAGCCUGCGCGGCCCAGCCCGCCGCCCUACGGGAGCCCGGGGAUGUGGGCCGGGCCUGGGGCCGCCUCUGCUUACCUUUCAGCUGCUUUUUUUUUUCUCCUUCCCCCCUGUUCCCUCGGCUGGGCUGACAGAUCAGAGUGAGAGGCGCUGGCAAUGGACUAGGAAGCUCGGCUGCCGCUGCUACUGCUCCCCCCUGGGCUCCGGCGAGAGCCUUUCCCUGUCAAGCAAGAGGGGUGAGGAUCAUAUUUUUAUUUUGGAAACUAAAAAGUGCUCCCAGGGUCGGUGAUUAUUAAGGGGAAAUCCCUGAAUAUACUCUCCAGCCAAGAAGGCAGGGCUGCCGGGGCUGUACAAGAAGAGGCAGCAGCCUCCUACAGCACCACUACAGGCACUGCGAGGACAUAACACCAGAGAGCUGCUCCUCUGCCCUCCGAAACGACAACUUUCCUACCAUCUUGGAGGCAGAGCAAAGGGGGGCCAGGGGGAAAAGUGCACCCGCUCCCGAUAAAGUACAAAUUUUUACUUCUCAUCUCUGGAAAAAAGUCCACACCGGCCGUCUACACCCGCGCCUGGGGGAGAAAGCAGGGAAGAAACGGGGGGUGCAUGAGAAACGUUUUCAUUUGCUCCAGGGGGAAAAAUGUUUCUGCAUCUUCUGAUGGAAAGAAAUCUUUACAAGACACAGGUUUUCCGGUGGUUAUUGUUUUUUAUUUUCUGUUUUUAAUUUUUUUCAUGUUAGUGACAGUGAUAUUUUAAUAUUUUUUUAAGCCAGUAAUAAUUUUUCUCCAUUACAGGGCUAAGUUCUGUGGCUGGUGGUCAGUUUGUAAAUUUAUACUUAAAGAGACUUAAUAGUAACUUCAUUUAUUUGUCUGGUUAUGUUAUUGUAUAUAUAAAUAUUUAUGUUUUCAUAUAUUGCAUAUAAAAAUUUGUGUUACAUGUUACUCUCAGAACAGAUUGCUGUAAGACAAUUGUAAAAAAACAUGUCUUUCGUCUGUUUCUCAAAGCAAUGUAAAUAAAACCUAUGGACUGUCCA
rnacentral:lncRNA from 10 species